UAUCUAGUUGGAUGUCAAGACA
rnacentral:miRNA from 1 species